CCGUGAUCUGCAAAUAAAUAUUAGAUAAAUUCAAAUUUAUCCAACACAUAUAAAAAAAAAAGAGAAAAGAAAGCAGAUUAUAAAAUUCUCUCAUUCCCCACGUUGGAGAAAAAACGUUCCCCUCUCUCCCUAAAAUCUCUCCCACAUCUUUAACCACCUCUCUCCCUAAUUUAAUCACCAAAUUAGUUCAUUCUUCUUCAUAUUCACUCUCUGCAAUCAAGAAACCAGACGUCCUCUUUCAACUUCUAUUCAAGAAAUUGAGAACUAAGGAGAGGGAGUUCCUGUUCCGUCCAGUUGCAAAUCUGCAAAUUUAAGGUGAGAUUUCGCAAGGGAAUCGAGAUACCAAAGGGAAGGAAGUGUAGAGAAUUAAGCAAACGAGGUGAGCUUUCUUUUAAAUAAGGGCAAUGCCAUAAGUAUAUUUUUAUGUGAAAAUAAUAUGAAUAUUUGUCAUGCCGUGUUUUGUUUUAUUCUAUGGAACC